GUUGUAUAGUCAAGUAAUUAAGUGCAUGUGGUGGAUGCCUUGGCAGUCAGAGGCGAUGAAAGACGUGAUAGCCUGCGAAAAGCUCCGGGGAGGCGGCAAAUAUCCUUUGAUCCGGAGAUGUCUGAAUGGGGGAACCCACCUACUUUAAGGUAGGUAUUGCAACAUGAAUACAUAGUGUUGCAAGGCGAACGAGGGGAAGUGAAACAUCUCAGUACCCUUAGGAAAAGAAAUCAAUUGAGAUUCCCUCAGUAGCGGCGAGCGAACGGGGAUCAGCCCAUUAAGUUAUGUGUGUUUUAGUGGAACGCUCUGGGAAGUGCGAACGUAGAGGGUGAUAUUCCCGUACACGAAAGGGCACACAUAAUGAUGACGAGUAGGGCGAGGCACGUGAAACCUUGUCUGAAUAUGGGGGGACCAUCCUCCAAGGCUAAAUACUCCUGACUGACCGAUAGUGAACCAGUACCGUGAGGGAAAGGCGAAAAGAACCCCUGUGAGGGGAGUGAAAUAGAUCCUGAAACCGCAUGCAUACAAGCAGUGGGAGCACCUUCGUGGUGUGACUGCGUACCUUUUGUAUAAUGGGUCAGCGACUUAUAUUCAGUAGCAAGGUUAACCGUAUAGGGGAGCCGUAGAGAAAUCGAGUCUUAAUAGGGCGUUUAGUUGCUGGGUAUAGACCCGAAACCAGGCGAUCUAUCCAUGAGCAGGUUGAAGGUUGGGUAACACUAACUGGAGGACCGAACCCACUGUCGUUGAAAAGCCAGGGGAUGACUUGUGGAUAGGGGUGAAAGGCUAAUCAAGCCUGGUGAUAGCUGGUUCUCCCCGAAAGCUAUUUAGGUAGCGCCUCGGACGAAUACCAUAGGGGGUAGAGCACUGUUUCGGCUAGGGGGUCAUCCCGACUUACCAAACCGAUGCAAACUCCGAAUACCUAUGAGUACUAUCCGGGAGACAGACUGCGGGUGCUAACGUCCGUAGUCAAGAGGAAAACAAUCCAGACCGCCAGCUAAGGCCCCAAAAUCAUAGUUAAGUGGGAAACGAUGUGGGAAGGCAUAGACAGCUAGGAGGUUGGCUUAGAAGCAGCCACCCUUUAAAGAAAGCGUAAUAGCUCACUAGUCGAGUCGGCCUGCGCGGAAGAUGUAACGGGGCUAAAACUAUGUGCCGAAGCUGCGGAUNNNNNNNNNNNNNUGCUGGAGGUAUCAGAAGUGCGAAUGCUGACGUGAGUAACGACAAAACGGGUGAAAAACCCGUUCGCCGAAAGACCAAGGGUUCCAGUCCAACGUUAAUCGGGGCUGGGUGAGUCGACCCCUAAGGCGAGGCCGAAAGGCGUAGUCGAUGGGAAAAUGGUUAAUAUUCCAUUACUUCUGUGUAAUGCGAUGAGAGGACGGAGAAGGCUAAAUCAGCCUGGCGUUGGUUGUCCAGGUGAAAGGAUGUAGGCAUGUAUCUUAGGCAAAUCCGGGGUACUCUAUGCUGAGAUCUGAUAGCAAGCUGUACUUGUACAGCGAAGUGGUUGAUGCCAUGCUUCCAGGAAAAGUCUCUAAGCUUCAGUUACACAGGAAUCGUACCCGAAACCGACACAGGUGGUCAGGUCGAGUAGACCAAGGCGCUUGAGAGAACUCUGCUGAAGGAACUAGGCAAAAUGGUACCGUAACUUCGGGAGAAGGUACGCUGUUGUUGGUGAUGGAACUCGCUUCCUGAGCUGACGACAGCCGCAGAAACCAGGCCGCUGCAACUGUUUAUUAAAAACAUAGCACUCUGCAAACACGAAAGUGGACGUAUAGGGUGUGAUGCCUGCCCGGUGCUGGAAGGUUAAUUGAUGGGGUUAGCGUAAGCGAAGCUCUUGAUCGAAGCCCCAGUAAACGGCGGCCGUAACUAUAACGGUCCUAAGGUAGCGAAAUUCCUUGUCGGGUAAGUUCCGACCUGCACGAAUGGCAUAAUGAUGGCGGCGCUGUCUCCAGCAGAGGCUCAGUGAAAUCGAAAUCGCUGUGAAGAUGCAGUGUACCCGCGGCUAGACGGAAAGACCCCGUGAACCUUUACUGCAGCUUGACACUGAACUUUGACCUUACUUGUGUAGGAUAGGUGGGAGGCUUUGAAGCUGGAACGCUAGUUCCAGUGGAGCCGUCCUUGAAAUACCACCCUGGUAAUGUUGAGGUUCUAACUCUGUCCCGUGAUCCGGGACGAGGACCGUGUCUGGUGGGUAGUUUGACUGGGGCGGUCUCCUCCUAAAGAGUAACGGAGGAGUACGAAGGUGCGCUCAGCGUGGUCGGAAAUCACGCGUAGAGUAUAAAGGCAAAAGCGCGCUUAACUGCGAGACCCACAAGUCGAGCAGGUACGAAAGUAGGUCUUAGUGAUCCGGUGGUUCUGUAUGGAAGGGCCAUCGCUCAACGGAUAAAAGGUACUCUGGGGAUAACAGGCUGAUACCGCCCAAGAGUUCAUAUCGACGGCGGUGUUUGGCACCUCGAUGUCGGCUCAUCUCAUCCUGGGGCUGAAGCAGGUCCCAAGGGUAUGGCUGUUCGCCAUUUAAAGAGGUACGCGAGCUGGGUUUAGAACGUCGUGAGACAGUUCGGUCCCUAUCUACCGUGGGCGCUGGAAAUUUGAGAGGAUCUGCUCCUAGUACGAGAGGACCAGAGUGGACGAACCUCUGGUGUACCGGUUGUGACGCCAGUCGCAUCGCCGGGUAGCUAUGUUCGGAAGGGAUAACCGCUGAAAGCAUCUAAGCGGGAAGCCUACCUCAAGAUAAGAUUUCCCUAGGACUUUAUGUCCUCUAAAGAGCCGUUCGAGACUAGGACGUUGAUAGGUUGGAUGUGGAAGCAUAGUGAUAUGUGAAGCUGACCAAUACUAAUUGCUCGUGAGGCUUGACUAUACAACACCCAAGCAGUUG
rnacentral:rRNA from 1 species